GACGAACGCUGGCGGCGUGCUUAACACAUGCAAGUCGAACGGAAAGGCCCUGCUUUUGUGGGGUGCUCGAGUGGCGAACGGGUGAGUAACACGUGAGUAACCUGCCCUUGACUUUGGGAUAACUUCAGGAAACUGGGGCUAAUACCGGAUAGGAGCUCCUGCUGCAUGGUUGGGGUUGGAAAGUUUCGGCGGUUGGGGAUGGACUCGCGGCUUAUCAGCUUGUUGGUGGGGUAGUGGCUUACCAAGGCUUUGACGGGUAGCCGGCCUGAGAGGGUGACCGGCCAAAUUGGGAAUGAGAUACGGCCCAGAAUCCUAAGGGAGGCAGCAGUGGGGAAUAUUGCACAAUGGGCGGAAGCCUGAUGCAGCAACGCCGCGUGCGGGAUGACGGCCUUCGGGUUGUAAACCGCUUUCGCCUGUGACGAAGCGUGAGUGACGGUAAUGGGUAAAGAAGCACCGGCUAACUACGUA
rnacentral:rRNA from 1 species